rnacentral:misc_RNA from 1 species
UUCCGUGUGUGUGUGUUUUUCCGUCACACGCUCUCUUCUCCUUUUCUCUCUCUCACCAUUGUGCUUCUAUUCGUUUUUUUUUCUGUUUGUUUUGUGCCUCUCCUCCUCCACUCCCCUUCAUUGGCGCUCCUCCCCACAAUAAGUUAGCCAUCGCUGUUGUGCUCGAAGAGGAGACGGUUUUCUAUUUUCGCUGCGAGUCUCUUCGAUACCGGCCGAAAAUAGGCAGAGAAACAAAUAGAGAAAAACAUCGCGUGCCGCCUCUUCCCCUCUCUCUCGUUCACAUAUCUUUCGUGUUGCACUUGUAGGUCACAGCAAAAAAAAGCGACGCUGUUUGACCUUCCGCAACCGCUUGCCUGCCUGCCUGCCUGACUGACUGCCUGUGUGUGUGCGUGUGCUGUGUUGUCUCCUAUACACUCGAGACAGACUGCGUCGCAGUAUUCAAGCGGAAAGGCAGUUGUAUCGCUGAUUGGUCUCUGCGCUGUUUGAAACCCAAGAUCUCACACGUAACAAAGACACGGCAGAAGCAACCAUGGCGGACGCUGUUGGGAACACAAACUCGAAGGUGAAGCUAAACAAGCUGAUCGUCGAGGAGCCGUACAAUGAUGACAACAGUGUUGUAUCGCUGAACCCGAAGCGGAUGGAGGAGCUGAACAUCUUCCGCGGUGACACCGUUCUCGUGAAGGGCAAGAAACACCGCAGCACCGUCUGCAUCGCGAUGGAGGACGACGAGUGCCCGCCGGAGAAAAUCAAGAUGAACAAAGUCGCGCGCCGCAACAUCCGCAUUCACCUCGGCGACACCAUUCGCAUCGUGCCCUGCAAGGAUGUUCCAUACGGAAACCGCGUUCACCUGCUGCCAAUCGAUGACACAGUGGAGAACCUCACUGGUGACUUGUUCGAGAACUUCUUGAAGCCAUACUUUUUGGAGUCGUACCGGCCUGUGAAGAAGGGCGACUCCUUUGUCUGCCGUGGCGCUAUGCGCUCUGUGGAAUUCAAGGUAGUGGAGGUGGACCCGGGUGAUUACUGCAUCGUGUCGCCGGACACAAUCAUCCAUUCCGAGGGUGAUCCGAUCCAUCGAGAGGACGAGGAGGCGCUUGACGGAGUCGGCUACGACGACAUUGGUGGUUGCCGCAAGCAGCUGAACCAGAUCCGAGAGAUGGUCGAGCUGCCCAUUCGCCACCCAGAGCUGUUCAAGAACAUUGGCAUCAAGCCCCCGCGUGGCAUCUUGCUUUACGGCCCUCCUGGGAGCGGCAAGACGCUCAUCGCGCGCGCUGUCGCAAAUGAGACGGGCGCCUUUUUCUUCCUCAUCAACGGUCCUGAGAUUAUGAGCAAGAUGGCUGGCGAGUCGGAGAGCAACCUUCGCAAGGCCUUCGAGGAGGCCGAGAAGAACGCGCCGGCGAUCAUCUUUAUCGAUGAAAUCGACUCCAUCGCCCCGAAGCGUGAGAAAGCUCAGGGCGAGGUGGAGAAGCGUAUCGUUUCGCAACUUCUAACCCUAAUGGACGGCAUGAAAUCGCGCUCGCAGGUGAUCGUGAUGGCGGCGACGAACCGCCCGAACACCAUCGAUCCAGCCUUGCGCCGUUUUGGCCGCUUCGACCGCGAGCUCGACAUCGGCGUGCCGGACGAGACUGGCCGCUUGGAGAUCAUUCGUAUCCACACCAAGAACAUGAAGCUGGCCGACGACAUUGAUCUGGAGAAGGUGGCAAAGGACUCGCACGGCUUUGUCGGCGCCGAUUUGGCGCAGCUCUGCACCGAGGCCGCCAUGCAGUGCAUUCGCGAGAAGCUGUCCAUCAUCGACUGGGAGGACGACACCAUCGAUGUCGAGGUGAUGAACGCGAUGUGUGUAACGCAGGAGCACUUUCGCGAGGCCAUGGCGAAGACGAACCCGUCCGCGCUGCGCGAGACACAGGUGGAAACGCCGAACGUCGUCUGGGAGGAUGUGGGCGGCCUCCUCGACGUCAAGCGCGAGCUGCAGGAGCUGGUGCAGUACCCCGUCGAGUACCCGUGGAAGUUUGAGAAGUACGGCAUGUCGCCGCCGAAGGGUGUCCUCUUCUACGGCCCACCCGGUUGCGGUAAGACGCUGCUGGCCAAGGCGAUUGCGACGGAGUGCCAGGCGAACUUCAUCUCCAUCAAAGGCCCGGAGCUUCUGACAAUGUGGUUCGGUGAAUCGGAGGCGAAUGUGCGCGACGUCUUCGACAAGGCUCGUGCUGCGGCCCCUUGCGUGCUCUUUUUUGAUGAACUGGACUCCGUGGCCAAGUCCCGCGGCGCCCACGGCGACGGAGGCGCGAGCGACCGCGUGAUCAACCAAAUCCUGACAGAGAUGGACGGCAUGAACGUCAAGAAGAAUGUCUUCAUUAUCGGUGCGACGAACCGGCCAGACGUGCUGGACCCUGCGAUCAUGCGUCCUGGGCGUCUCGACCAGCUCAUCUACAUCCCAUUGCCCGACAAGGCGUCUCGUGUGGCCAUUAUCAAGGCGAGCUUCCGUAAGUCGCCGCUAGCCUCCGACGUCGACGUGGAUCAGAUUGCCGCCGCCACGCACGGCUUCUCCGGCGCCGACUUGUCUGGCAUCUGCCAGCGCGCGUGCAAGAUGGCAAUCCGCGAGUCGAUCAACAAGGAAAUUCAGCUCGAGGAGCUGAAGAAGAUCGGGCAGUUGGACGAAAACGCUGAUAUCGACCCGGUGCCGGAGAUCACGCGCGCUCACGUGGAGGAGGCAAUGCGCGGUGCCCGCCGCUCCGUCUCUGACGCGGACAUUCGGCGCUACGAUAUGUUCAAGACCUCCUUGCAGCAGAGCCGCACCUUCGGUGCUAGUAACCCGCCCCCAGCGGAGGCCGGUGCGCCUGCUGGCAGCGGGGCGCCGCCGCCAGCGGACGACGACGACCUCUACAGCUAAGAGGAGGAGGUGGCGGAUGUGAUGUUUUCAGUUUACUUCGCCUCUUUUCUUUUUGGUUUCAGGCUUCUUCCCCUUUUAUAUUUUUUCGUGACGGCAGAUGUUGCUGUGGUAUUGUGGAGCGGUCACCAGCGUCGCUUUGGGCUUAUGGCGGAGGUGAUUCUGCCUACGUGAUCCCCCCUCCAGCCUAUCCAUGCGUGCCACCGCCCCGUGCGAUGUCGCGUGUGAGGCGUGGACGCGCGUGCCAGGGCUGGAAGGGUGUUGUGGCGCACCUGCAAAGAUGAUACACGCUUGAUCCGUGCUUGUUGCCUCAUGCGUUGGUGAAGCGCGGACACUUUGUUUUCCCUUGGUGUGAGGGGAUUCGUCUGUGUUCGGGGCGUGUCGUUCUUUUUCUUAUCUGUGGUUGUGUUUGUGUGUGGGGUGACGCACUGUCAAGCGAAUUGUGCUUGAUGCGCUGCGUGGUGGUGGGCGGCGUGGGUGAGGCGAGAGGGGUUGUUGUCUCCCUGGCUCGCUCUCCAUGGACGCUUUGAGACCGUCUUCUUGCCCCCUCCCGAUAUGUCCGGCGCCUCCCCUCGUCUGUUCGCCCGCCCUUCUCACUAGUCCAUCGUAUUGUGGCCUGUUGAUGCGGUUAUGGCCGUAGACAUGCACGGUUUGUUUGC